GAUGAAUUUAAGCUUCAUAUAUAAAGAGACCUUUUUU
rnacentral:tRNA from 1 species